UCGAGGAUCUUUCGCAAUGGGCGCAAGCCUGACGAAGCGACGCCGUGUGAGUGAUGAAGGCCUUCGGGUUGUAAAGCUCUUUCGCUUGGGAACAAGAGAGGCCGUUGAAUAAGCGGCCGAUUUGAGUGUACUAGGUAAAGAAGCACCGGCUAACUCCGUGCCAGCAGCUGCGGUAAUACGGAGGGUGCAAGCAUUAAUCGGAAUUAUUGGGCGUAAAGGGCGCGUAGGCGGGUUUUUAAGUCAGAUGUGAAAUUCCGGGGCUCAACCUCGGAGCUGCAUUUGAUACUGGAAAUCUUGAGGGUAGGCGGAGAAAGCGGAAUUCCACGUGUAGCGGUGAAAUGCGUAGAUAUGUGGAAGAACACCGGUGGUGAAGACGGCUUUCUAGCUUAAACCUGACGCUGAUGCGCGAAAGCAAGGGGAGCAAACAGGAUUAGAUACCCCCGUAGUCC
rnacentral:rRNA from 1 species